rnacentral:rRNA from 1 species
GACGAACGCUGGCGGCGUGCUUAACACAUGCAAGUCGAACGGAAAGGCCCUGCUUUUGUGGGGUGCUCGAGUGGCGAACGGGUGAGUAACACGUGAGUAACCUGCCCUUGACUUUGGGAUAACUUCAGGAAACUGGGGCUAAUACCGGAUAGGAGCUCCUGCUGCAUGGUGGGGGUUGGAAAGUUUCGGCGGUUGGGGAUGGACUCGCGGCUUAUCAGCUUGUUGGUGGGGUAGUGGCUUACAAAGGCUUUGACGGGUAGCCGGCCUUAGAGGGUGACCGGCCACAUUGGGACUGCGAUACGGCCCAGACUCCUACGGGAGGCAGCAGUGGGGAAUAUUGCACAAUGGGCGGAAGCCUGAUGCAGCAACGCCGCGUGCGGGAUGACGGCCUUCGGGUUGUAAACCGCUUUCGCCUGUGACGAAGCGUGAGUGACGGUAAUGGGUAAAGAAGCACCGGCUAACUACGUG